GACGAACGCUGACGGCGUGACUACUACAUGCAAGUAGUAAGCAGUUGCGACCGGGUGCGUAACGCGUAGGUAACUGCCUCUUAGAGGGGGAUAACUAUUGGAAACGAUAGCUAAUACCGCAUACUAGUAGAUGGACCUGCGUUGUAUUAGCUAGUAGGUAGGGUAAUGGCCUACCUAGGCGACGAUACAUAGCCGACCUGAGAGGGUGAUCGGCCACACUGGGACUGAGACACGGCCCAGACUCCUACGGGAGGCAGCAGUAGGGAAUCUUCGGCAAUGGGGGGAACCCUGAGCGAGGAAGGCCGCGGGAGUGAAGAAGGUCCUCGGCUUGGAAAGCGUCGGUGGUGAGGAAGCGGUAAGUAACCAGAAAGCGACGGCUAACUAUGUGGCAGCCGCCGCGGUAAUAC
rnacentral:rRNA from 1 species